rnacentral:rRNA from 1 species
GGUUGAUCCUGCCAGUAGUCAUACGCUUGUCUCAAAGAUUAAGCCAUGCAUGUCUAAGUAUAAACCGCUUCAACGGUGAAACUGCGAAUGGCUCAUUAAAUCAGUUAUAGUCCACUUGAUAGUCCCUUGCUACUCGGAUAACCGUAGUAAAUCUAGAGCUAAUACGUGCACAAAGGGCCGACUGGGGGGGAGGGGCAACUCUCUCGCACGCAAACCCCGGAAGGCUCGUAUUUAUUAGAUACGACAAACCGAUACGGGGCAUUCCAAACCGGAGGAAAAAGGCGGCUCCGAGG